UCACUUUUAUUUCUAUUUUUUGUGGAAUGUGCACUGGUAAGUGAUACAUUAUUCUAACAUAUUUGUUCAUGACUUCAUGUUGAUGCAGAAUUCUGUUGGGGAGAAAAGCAAGUGCAAAGAGGAUGGGGGCUCUACAACAAUCAGUUGCAAGGUGUGUAUGGCUGUAUGCCUACCAAAUUCUACUUAAUUCUGUUGCUUACAAGUCUCUAAGGCGUCGCCUCGCCUUAUGCCUCAGCGCUUAGGCAGUGAGGCGCCCCCCCAGCGCCUCGCCUCGCCUUACCGCCUUAAAAACAUAGGACACAUCCACCUCCUUACCAAGCUCUUUUUGUCGCUCUGCUGUCCUUCAGAUUCUCUGAAUAACUUGAAUAUCAGCUUGAAAAAUUCGAGCAACAUCCUUCUUGUCAGUUCUUUUGAACUUGCCACCCCUACUCAUAUUCAGCGUAAGCAUUGCCAUGUGGUGAGCAGUUCAGGUCUGGGAGCAUUUUGUGCUGCUGCUGCUAUGUUCCGGUACUGUUGAUGUGAUACUGCUUCUCCUCUUGCUACUGAUCCUGUGUUGUUGCUCCACUUGCUACUGUUGUUGUGCUGGUGCUGCUCUUGCUGAUAAUGCUGCUAAUAAUGCCGCCUGCUAUUGAUACUGCUGAUAAUGCUGUUGUUGUUGCUGGUCCUCUUGAUCAACUGCUCCUCUUGAUCAGCUGUUGUGUUAAUGAUGCUCUUAAUGCUUUUGUUGUCCUAAUCCUGAGCUAUCGAUCUCUUGAUGUGGAGUAAUUUGAAGAUCUCUUUUGUUGUCCUACUCCUGUACUCUUGAUCUUGAUCUGGAGCACACCUGAUUCCUUGAUCUGGAGUAAUUUGAAGAUCUCCUGAUCUGGUGUUGUGCUAUGAUGAGAAAUUAUUGCUACUGUGAUUUAUUGCUGCUCUCGAAGCUACUCCUCUUGAUCUUAUACUCCACUGUCAAGCACAUGGAUCUUGUACUCCACUAUAGUGGAAUUGAUUUUGAUCUCGUAUCUUGCUAAUGUAUUGCUUCUCCUUGCUCUGGGCGACGCGAGGAGUACCUGGGCGAGGAGCACCUGGGCGCGAGGAGGAGGGCUAGGGCGCGAGGAGGAGGACCUGGGCGCGCGAGCAGGAGGGCCAGGGCGCGAGGAGGACCUGGGCGCGCGAGGAGGAGGGCCUGGGCGCGGCGACGGCAAGGCUGGGCGCGAGGAGGAGGACCAGGGCACGGCAACGGCCAGGCUGGGCGCGUGGAGGGGCCCGGCGGCGACAAGGCUGGGCGCAGCCAGGCGAUGGGGACGAGCGGGUGACGACGGGGACCAGCUCCUGGACACAGCCAGGCGACGGCGACGGCAAGGCUGGGGGCGUGGAUACGGGGACGACGCGAGGAAGAAGACGACUGGUUCGAAAUUCAAAAUAAGGGCAUAAUGGUCUAUUUGCACUUUUGUCGGCUGUGUCUGAAAAUCCCUCAACGUCUUAUAAAUCUUUCCAGAGGGAGUACUUUGUUUUCUUGCGAAAAUAUGAAUUCUCUUUUGUCAUGAAUUCUAUAUCGAAAAGGGAUUAAUAAAACUAUAUGCUCUCUGCUCUGUAUC